GAUUCAUAUUAGAGGUGCCAAAGGAAAAUGAAGAUUGACCAAAGGCGGAGGGCUGUCCAAAAACAGGUGCUUGACCAAAAGCCGAAGGUUGUCCAAAAACAGGUGCUUGACCAAAAGUAGAAGGUUGUCCAAAUACCGGCGUGUUAGAUUUAGCACCCGAAGAAGCGUCUGUAGAUAACCCUUUGUCAAAAGAAGUAGCUUGACCAAAUUUAAAGUUACCAAAUGCAGAAGAUUGUGAAAAAGGUGAACUAGUAGAACUCAGAUUCUUCACAAAAGGAGAGGCUUGUUUAUCGGGCGUUGGUAUAUUUUCAUUGUUCGAUGCACGUACAGUAGAAUCUUUAUUUUUGUCUUUAAUAACAUUCAUUUCAGGAUAAUCAAUGCUCUUGGAAAUAGCAUCUGCAUAGAAAAUUCUGUAUGCCACCAAUUGGAAUUCAUCAUUAAACACCCAAACAAUAGGUAAUGGAG